UCACUCUUGAUUACUUAAAUGUAGUGUAUUAUACUUUUAGGUGGAGAAUUUCAAUGAUAAACAUCCAGUAUCUGCUAUUAUUUGUUUGGCUGUUGUUAAUAAUGUCAUUGUAUCGACUGGUUCAGUACAGAUGAAGUCCAUGUUUGUUCAAAAUGAGCAUGUGACAAAGACGUACACAGAUAUACUUCUUGGCAUGCAGUUUAAUGAGGCAGACAACACACCAGAUCAGGCUCCAGAUGAUAAUAUUGUCUCAAUACCAUACUCUUCUGUGCUGGAAACUAAUGUCUAUGAUUUGGAUGUUGGCAUCAUGAGAUCGCUGAUAUCCCAAGCAGCUGGACCAAUGACUUCUCUAUCUAUAUAUAAAUGGUACCGAAGAAGAAUGCGUAGAAACUGUCAACCAUGAUCCAAUAGAGCCUCAGGAAACAGGAGAAGGGGACAAGGUAGUGAAGGAGACUGAUGAAGAAUAAGUGGGCGUAAUAGUUCAAGAGACAGGACAGGAGAAAGGGCAAGAGCCAGAGGGGGAAACACACGUGAAAAGAGAAAGAAUACACUCAAUUUUCAUGGAAGAGAAGAAUCCAAAGAGAAAACUGACCCGUGGGUUAAAUCAACCCUGCAGCAGGUGAAUGCAGCCUCAACAGCAGAGGAGGUAGAGUAUGGAUGCCGAAAAGAGCUGGUCUCGACUAUUCAAUAUCCAUACAGGGACGGAACUGUUUUCCAUCUACAUCUAUUGUCCCAUUUGAUGUCACGUCCAAUACAACAGCACUGCAAAAAAUACCAGCAGUACCAGCAGCUGAUCCUGCCAUUGUUGACACCCCCAGCUAGACCAUCAUCUUUACACUUGGUUUGGGUGCCUGCCAAUCCAAGAAAUAUGUAAGAUCUAAAAGUUGUAAGCCUCACCUUAUCCUGCAAUCAGCCAACUAUUGUACAAAUAACAGUUUUGUAUCUAUCAACCAUGUGGUUCCAGCUGUCUGCUCAUUGAGACCAUAUGGAAGCUGUAUUGAGGAUUGUGCGUUUCUUGGCCUUGGGUUGUGCUGUUUUAUGGACAGCCACCACAAGGAUAUAACCCCAGGCUGGGUGGAAUGUACCAUUUGUGGACAGUGGGUUCCUGAUACAUGCAUGGGUGUCACUGUAGCAGCCUUUAGCUUGCAGGAUGAUUUCCCAUGUGGAUGUGAUUGCCUGCAAAAUGGAGUGUUAAAACU